rnacentral:rRNA from 1 species
GACUWUAAGUCUCCUGAAGGAACGUUAAAGACGAUGACGUUGAUAGGCCGGGUGUGUAAGCGCAGCGAUGCGUUGAGCUAACCGGUACUAAUGAACCGUGAGGCUUAACCUUAC